AUGUUGACAUGUGGUGACAUCUGAGCCGACCAUUGAUCAAAUGGUUCGAUGUACCUACUUCAGAUCGAGCGACGUCACCACUAUCCAUAUGAAUAGCUCUGACUCAAUGAUAUUCGGACACGUGGCAAAGAUCUACUUGUCAGAAUUAUAUCGUCCAGUGUUGAAUCGAUUUUUUGAAAUGAUGUCUGACACUGACACCCAAUACCAAAUCGUCCUGUUAAUAUGACAGUCUAAUGAUGGUUCUGUACUCAUUGAAAUGAUAAAACAGCCGAUGCUUACAUCCUGA
rnacentral:lncRNA from 1 species